ensembl:lncRNA
GGGGGCGCUGUGUCCGUAUAUAUACUGAUAAGGGGGCGCUGUGUCGUUUGUAUAUAUACUGAUAAGGGGGCGCUGUGUCGUUUGUAUACUGAUAGGGGCGCUGUGUCGUUUGUAUAUAUACUGAUAGGGGGCGCUGUGUCGUUCGUAUAUAUACUGAUAGGGGGCGCUGUGUCGAAGUCACCGUACCGCCAUCUUGGCACUCCCUCACCAUUUGUAAAACAUCUAUUUUAAUUUAUUACAGACACCUGUAAGAGUGUAAAGUGACCCGGUGCAGAAAGCCUAGCGGUUAAGCGCGUUGAGCCAAUAACCGAAAGGUUGCUGGUUCGAAUCCUCGACCGGGCAAGGUGUAAAAAAAUAAAUAAAAUCUGCCGUUCUCCCUUUGAACAAGUCAGUUAACCCCCAACAACAACUGCUCCCCGGGUACCGAUGUCGUGGAUUAAGGCAGCCCCCCCCCCACCUCCCUGAUUCAGAGGGGUUGGGUUAAGUGCUGAAGACAGUUCAAUUCAAUGCAUUGUUGUGCAAUGUAUCCCCAACCAACUGACUAGGUAUCCCCAACCAACUGACUAGGUAUCCCCAACCAACUGACGAGGUAUCCCCAAGCAACUGACGAGGUAUCCCCAAGCAACUGACGAGGUAUCCCCUUUGUGUGACAGAGAGAAGUGUUUGCAGUGCUGCUGGUGGAAACGUCAUUUCGCCUAGUCAUCCUUUUAAAGCAGCCUUCAGGACUGCUGCUGACUGGAUGUUUUGGUUUGUUGCAUCCUUCUCAGUAAACCCGAGAGAGACACUGUCGUGCGUGAAAAGCCCAGGAGGC